rnacentral:rRNA from 1 species
ACGCGAGUGGAUGCCAAUCCUAAACCCCUCUCAGUUCGGACUGGAGUCUGCAACCCGACUCCACGAAGCUGGAUUCGCUAGUAAUCGCGCAUCAGCCACGGCGCGGUGAAUACGUUCCCGGGCCUUGUACACACCGCCCGUCAAGCCAUGGGAGCCGGGGUACCUGAAGUGCGUAACCGCGAGGAUCGCCCUAGGGUAAAACUGGUGACUGGGGCUAAGUCGUAACAAGGUACC